rnacentral:misc_RNA from 1 species
GAUGAAGAACGUAGCGAAAUGCGAUAAGUAAUGUGAAUUGCAGAAUUCAGUGAAUCAUCGAAUCUUUGAACGCACAUUGCGCCCACCAGUAUUCUGGCGGGCAUGCCUGUUCGAGCGUCAUUACAACCCUCAGGCCCCCGGGCCUGGCGUUGGGGAUCGGCGGAGCCCCCCGUGGGCACACGCCGUCCCCCAAAUACAGUGGCGGUCCCGCCGCAGCUUCCAUCGCGUAGUAGCUAACACCUCGCGACUGGAGAGCGGCGCGGCCACGCCGUAAAACACCCAACUCUUCUGAAGUUGACCUCGAAUCAGGUAGGAAUACCCGCUGAACUUAAGCAUAUCAAUAAGCGGAGGA